rnacentral:rRNA from 1 species
CCUACGGGUGGCAGCAGUGGGGAAUAUUGCACAAUGGGGGAAACCCUGAUGCAGCGACGCCGCGUGAGCGAAGAAGUAUUUCGGUAUGUAAAGCUCUAUCAGCAGGGAAGAAAAUGACGGUACCUGAGUAAGAAGCUCCGGCUACAUACGUGCCAGCAGCCGCGGUAAUACGGAAGGAGCAAGCGUUAUCCGGAUUUACUGGGCGUAAGGGGGGCGUAGGCGGCCUGCCAAGUCUGAUGGGAAAUACCGGGGCUCAACCCCGGGGCUGCCUUGGAAACUGGCAGGCUGGAGUGCCGGAGAGGCAUGCGGAAUGCCUGGUGUAGCGGUGAAAUGCGUAGAUAUUAGGGGGAACACCAGUGGCGAAGGCGGCCUGCUGGACGGUGACUGACGCUGAGGCUCGAAAGCGUGGGGAACAAACAGGAUUAGAUACCCGUGUAGUC